AAUGCCCCAUGGUGAUGUCCUCAGGCAUCUGAGGUCAUCUAAAGAUCCGUCGGAUGGGGAUAGGCUCGCGUGACAUUAGCUAGACGGCGGGGUAACGGCCCACCGUGGCGACGAUGUCUAGGGGUUCUGAGAGGAAGGUCCCCCACACUGGAACUGAGACACGGUCCAGACUCCUACGGGAGGCAGCAGUGAGGAAUAUUGGACAAUGGCCGGAAGGCUGAACCAGCCAUGCCGCGUGAAGGUCAGUGCCCUAUGGGCGUUAAACUUCUUUUGUGCGGGAGCAAUAAUGGUCACGUGUGGCCAGACGAGAGUACCGUACGAAUAAGCAUCGGCUAACUCCGUGCCAGCAGCCGCGGUAAUACGGGGGAUGCAAGCGUUAUCCGGAUUUAUUGGGUUUAAAGGGUGCGUAGGCUGUGAGGUAAGUCAGCGGUGAAAUGCCCCCGCUCAACGGGGUGAAGUGCCAUUGAUACUGCCUUGCUGGAAUGCGGAUGCCGUGGGAGGAAUGUGUGGUGUAGCGGUGAAAUGCAUAGAUAUCACACAGAACACCGAUUGCGAAGGCAUCUCACGAAUCCGCGAUUGACGCUGAUGCACGAAAGCGUGGGUAUCAAACAGGAUUAGAUACCCUGGUAGUCCACGCUGUAAACGAUGAUGACUAACCGUCGGCGAUACACAGUCGG
rnacentral:rRNA from 1 species